rfam:Daphnia magna strain Xinb3 scaffold00512, whole genome shotgun sequence.
UGGGGUCGCUAAGUAGUAGUGCCGCAGGUAAUGGCUGUUAAAUAUCACGUUACCUGGACAAGGCUACUUAAUGUUCCCU